AGCUUUGUGCAGUGGCAGUAUCGUAGCCAAUGAGGUUUAUCUGAGGUACAAUUAUUGAUAAGAAAAGAAAAAGAAAUUUCAGCGAAGGAAUUUUUUACAGUUCACUUUUUUUUUUUUUUUGAAACAGAGUCUGGCUCU